AGGACACAAGUGCAGAAACAGUCCUGCUGAACCUUGAAAGCGAUUUGUGAUCUAACACGUGCAAAAUGAGAAAACGAGAGCAAGGCUUCACAACCCCUCAAGACGAAACGGAGGCCCAGAGAGCUGCAGUCGGCUGGAGGAGAUGAGUGUGGACCUGGGGGUCGGCUCGCAGCCUGGGCCCAGCUAUGCCCAGGACCCUUGCUGUGCGAGGUGGGCUGGGAUUCAUCUCUCGGAACGCUUCAACCACAGAGGAUGUGGCACAAAAUCGCAUGGACCCACUGCCCUGUGGUAAAUCCACGAUCAAUACAUCUCAAGACAGGUGCCAUCAGAAUGCCUCCGAAAGGGAAACCGGGGGACCUUUUGCCCUACAGUGAGCACUUUGGGGAGACUGGUGAAUCACGGUCCCAGGAAGGGGCCUUCUGGCAUUCUCAGUGCCGAGGGGUGGUUGGGGGAAGGGUAUGGCCAUGGCUCGGCCUUCCAUGCCAACGUUCUUUCUGCAAAACAAGGAGACCGGAGAGGAGGACCGGACUUCUACUUUCCCUUUACGGUGCCUUCCCAACACAGUGAUGAGCGACACACUGUGGACAAGGGUUCAUGUUCUCUGCUGCUGAACUUUGGCGACACGAAUGACUCUACAACGGCUUCUGUUAUUUGCUGAAAUAUUCCUACUUGAGAAAAGAGCAAGAAAAUUCAUUUAGUGAAUCUAAAACCCCUCUUCAGAAGGGCAUAUUCCAAAGGGUGCCCCAGUGUGGAGAGGCCUUAAGGAGAAAGGGAUUUGAGAGCAAAGGCCUGGGGUUCACAUGCCAGUUCCCCAUUUCUGGCUGAUUGAUGUUAACUGUUUUUUAGCCUCAUUUCCACCCCUGCUCUCCCAACCCCCAAAAAAGCAAACCAAUUCCAUGUACAUGAGAUUGUUCAUGUGACAUAUUUGUGAAGACACUUGGCAUCACGGAACCCAAAUGCCAAUAGCAGUUUCCUUAGAUUGGUUAAAAAGAUGAAUUUGUUAAUGGAGUUACAUCUUCAGUCUGUUCUUGCAUACAUAUUCCCUUGGGAACCAGUUUCAAAGGACAUCCACCUUUUGGCAAGGGAAAAAGAGGUGACAGAAACCUAUUCCUCAGGCUGGCACAGGUCCGGGAGCCGUGGGGUGGCCCGCACCCCACGAAAACCUCCGUCCCCCAUUUACGGUGCAGCCGCCCCACCUCCGGGUCUGCCUCCAGCUGUCUAUUUCUCCACUUCCUGCCAACCAACCGCAAAUAAAGGAACAAAGUCAGAUAACUUCCAUUUCCGAAGCGCUGUUCUUUGGAGAUAUCUAAUAGAAGUAAUACAAUCGUCUGGCUCUAAGGGGAGUCACAGACUCGAGGCUGAAGGUGGUGAUGAUCGGUUACCAAGGACCCAAGGGCCGGGCUCUGUGCAGGAAUUAUCGCGGAGACGCAGAAACCAGCUCGUGAGGUGGGAGCCACCCUCCCGUUAGGACACCUGAGGGCCCUGAGGCAGGUGGCGUGAGUGGCUGGGAUCUGAAGCCGGGAUGGCCGCAGCCUGUCAUUCCCGUCGGCCUCUCCUGGGUCUGCAAGCGCUUCCCUCUUACACCGUCCCUCUCCCGAACUUCUGAGGCACCCACUCUGUGCCACACUACUUAGCAAUGGCGUGCCGUCUUGUCCUAUUUGGGUUAGACUUAGCAUGCACUCAGAUCCUAAGCCGUGCUCCCGGCCCAAAGCACGUCACUGGCGUAACCUUCCAGUCACAACCGGGCUUAGAGAUGUGGACGAGCAAUGGCUUUCUUCUGCGCAAGAAGUUUUAAUGAGCAUCUUGUUUAUAUUUCAGGGAAGUUUCAGUCAAACUUGAAAAUGACUUCUCUGUAGCUAACUAGUCUCAAAUACCUUGCCGGUUCCACUUCAAACUCUGCACAUGCAGCAAAACAGUAUUCGGGAAAUGAAUGAAUGGGUGCAGAGAAAAGAUACUUAGUUUUGGUUGGUCCUUACAAGCCUACAAAUUUAGAAAAUGAUUUAAUUCUAUCCAAACCUGGAAGAACUUGGAUUUAAAGUUGGUCAUUUAAAGCGGCAAUUUAUUAUGUUGCCCAUUCUAAGUGGGGGCAACAACCUCCGCUCAUACACAAGCUACUUGACCUGGGCCACACUUGCAAUUGCAGAAUGGCAUUAAAUUGCCUGGAUCAAGUUUUUUUCAUACUUUGACUACCAGCCAUAACAACAAAUUCAUUUUUUGUCAUGACCUAAUACAUACAUAUUUAUAUCUGAAACAAGUUUCAUGAAGAAUAAUGAUCUUUAACUUGUGCAAUGCACUUUGAUAUUUCCUGUUGCAUUUUCUUGUUAAAAUGCUGAUUGCCACUCACCAAAAUGAUCCCAUGAUCCCCUAUUUAUGGAAUUGUGAAAAAAACUUGGUUGUUUCAUAUUAUCUAAGAAUAAAAAUCCUCUAAGUGUAGAAAGAUACUUUAAUUUUACUUGUCCUAGUAAUCCUUAGAAAAUGAGAUUUCUGUUCAUCAUGUCUUUAGUAAUUUGCAAACUGUGGUGCCACCUUCUUCAAUAAUUUUACAGGAUUCCCUCUGCAGUUCAGGAGCACAUGGGUGAGAAGCAUUCUUUUUAGGAACUUUAAAGGCUACAAUGUCUUAUGAUAUGGCAACUAGUAAGAAAGUGACAGUGCUUGGA